UGGGAAAUCCUUUUAUAAAGAAGGAAAAAUCAAAGCUGGAUACAAGUGUAUGUGGGCACGACAGUUGUGCCGACGGAUCGAGCAAGACGAUGGACAAAGUCGAUUGUGUAGGCACAGAAUCAGUUGUGCUGGGAUUUUUCUAAGGCGCCUAAAAGGAAAAAUGGACAAAAUUCGAUCGGAUUCGCUACGGCCAAAAGGGCGGAGGAACUACUUCACCAUUAGCGUGCGCUGCGAUAAUUUAUAAAAAGAAAUCCGCAAAGCUAUAAAGCGAGGGAAAAUGGUGGAAAGAAAAGGGCAAGGAAAAAAGGCGGGGGUAGGGGGUUAUAAUAAUUAUGUUUUUUUUUUUAAUAUCUCCAAUCUCUUUUGCUUUUCGUGUAGAAUUCUAAGAAAAAAAUCUUUAAAGGAGGGGGGGAGUAGGGACGUGAGGGAAUCCAUGUGUUCCAAGCACUUUCGGACAAAGCGAGCUUCAGAAGAGAAAAAGCAAAACCUUUUGCUUUACGACCCAAGAAAAGGAGAUUUCAAACACGAUGAAGAGAGAGAGAGAGAGAGAGAGAGAGAGGGGGAGAGAAAUGAGGCGUGGGGUUUUGAUUACUGACCACGCAAUUUCCUAAGCCAAGACCCUCUCUCUCUCUCUCUCUCUCUCUCUCUCUCUCUCUCUCUCUCUGCUGUCUAUAUUUAGUGGCAAGCUUCGGGUGCAACUUCAACCCCACAUCUUCCUGCUUUCCCUCUCAAAACUACACACAGGGUUCAUGUUCAUCCCCCAGGGCAAGAGAAUAGCACAAACCUCUCCUGGCCAUUACGUUAGCUCUUGUUCUUUGCCCCCCCCCCCCCCCCCCUCUCUGGGCUUUUGCUCCUUCACAUGCCAAUUUAAAUAGGGCUUCCCUUUCAUGAGUCUCCACAAGGAAAAGGACCCUUUGGUUUGAUCAUCGUGUGACCCAGUUUUCCGUCAGCUCGAAUCCUCAGAUCUCCGAGUCUUUUUCUUCAGUGAAACAUGCUACUGCAGACCCUCUACUUGGAAACCCUAGUUUUUGCUCCAUCCGAGUCGUUUCAGUGCUUAGCUCUCCCUAGCUAGGGCAUUGCAGUUAGGCAUACAGUUUGCGGACGUUUCGUUCUCCUUUUUCGCUUGUGUUACAUUCUUGAAUUCAUUUUUUAGUCCACAUUACGAAUUAUUUGCAUAGGAAACAUGGCCUUUCUACAUAAUUGCAUGAGAUCAUACAAACAAUGUUUAUGCGGACAUAUUUGAGUACAUAUGUGCCUGGCUCCCUGUAUGCCAUGUGCAGAGAGCGCAUCGGAGAAUCGAUGGCCUCCGCGGAUGGCGUAUGAGGAGCCAAGCAUAUAAUUCCCCAGUAUGUUCUUUUUUUCUGUACAUAAUUUUAUUCGCAGGUCCGAAAAAGUUGUCACUUUCUUUGUAUCCGAGAGGAACCGGAGUCGGGGGAGGGUUAUAGCAUAUGGUGGUUCAAACUCAAUACCUUCACGGAUAUGACUUAUCGAGCAUAGGAUUGCACUGACAUCGCACUCUUUUCACGGGUCAUUUGAGGCAUCUUGAGGCCAAAUUUAACAAUGGCGAGAAGUUGCAAUUUCUGCAGGGAUCAGAAACAGACACUUUGUCUCUGAGAAAGUCUCGAAUCGUGAAUAUGCGACGGGAUUAAUAGUGACCAUGAUGAACCAAGAUCUGUUACGCUUGAAACGAGGAAUACCCUUCUCGGAACUCUCAGGAGAACCAAAAUUCCCGUUGCUCCUUUUUAAAUCGCAACGUUUUUCUGACAACAUAGGAGUUACAAAAGCUCACAUUAGAAAACCUCCCUCCCCAUCAUUUCUCUCCUCAAAAGAACCAUUUGAUGCUUCACGCCUUGUCUCCUAGAUGUUCCAUUAUCAUGAAAUCAAGCUUUGUCUUUUGUUGAAGGACCAGCUCAUACUUCUAAUACUAAUAUCAGCUCGACAGGAAAUACAAUUUUUUAGGUAGAAGCUAGGAAAGUGUUUUGUGUAUUGAAUGCUACCUCUAACGAUGUUCUUUACUAUUCUACUCGGUGUUUUUGUGUAAUUCGAAUUGCAAAUAGAAGCUGUGCAAUAUGUAUUAUGUUGAGGGCCUUGAGGCAAAGCAACUGGCUUGAGUUUGUUUGGAAUGUUAUCCAUUGAUGAGGUUGAGAUCGAACUUG